rnacentral:rRNA from 1 species
GAUGAACGCUGGCGGCGUGCCUAAUACAUGCAAGUCGAGCGAAUGGAUUAAGAGCUUGCUCUUAUGAAGUUAGCGGCGGACGGGUGAGUAACACGUGGGUAACCUGCCCAUAAGACUGGGAUAACUCCGGGAAACCGGGGCUAAUACCGGAUAACAUUUUGAACCGCAUGGUUCGAAAUUGAAAGGCGGCUUCGGCUGUCACUUAUGGAUGGACCCGCGUCGCAUUAGCUAGUUGGUGAGGUAACGGCUCACCAAGGCAACGAUGCGUAGCCGACCUAGGAGGGUGAUCGGCCACACGGGGACUGAGACACGGCCCAGACUCCUACGGGAGGCAGCAGUAGGGAAUCUUCCGCAAUGGACGAAAGUCUGACGGAGCAACGCCGCGUGAGUGAUGAAGGCUUUCGGGUCGUAAAACUCUGUUGUUAGGGAAGAACAAGUGCUAGUUGAAUAAGCUGGCACCUUGACGGUACCUAACCAGAAAGCCACGGCUAACUACGUGCCAGCCGCCGCGGUAA